GCGCUGGUAGUGUAGGGUACACGCAUCCCCAUAUUCGACCCGUACUCUCAACUCCAUGGAUGAACAACCGGGGUUCGACUCCCCGCCAGCGCA